GAAGGUGGCUCAGUGGUAGAGUACUUGUCUUGCAUGCAUGAGGCCCUGGGUUCGAUUCCUUAGCAUUCA
rnacentral:tRNA from 1 species